AGGAGAAGUGGCAGAGCGGUUGAUUGCGGCAGUCUUGAAAACUGUUGAAUUAAAGAUUCCGUGGGUUCGAAUCCCACCUUCUCCUU
rnacentral:tRNA from 1 species